AUUGAACGCUGGCGGCAUGCCUUACACAUGCAAGUCGAACGAGUGGCGGACGGGUGAGUAAUGUAUGGGAAACUGCCCGAUGGAGGGGGAUAACUACUCGAAACGGUAGCUAAUACCGCAUACCAUCGGAUCUGCCCAGAUGGGAUUAGCUAGUUGGUGGGGUAAAGGCUCACCAAGGCGACGAUCCGUAGCUGGUCUGAGAGGACGACCAGCCACACUGGGACUGAGACACGGCCCAGACUCCUACGGGAGGCAGCAGUGGGGAAUAUUGCACAAUGGGGGAAAGCCUGAUGCAGCCAUCCCGCGUGUAUGAUGAAGGCCUUCGGGUUGUAAAGUACUUUUGGCAGGGAAGCGUUACCUGCAGAAGAAGCACCGGCUAACUCCGUGCCAGCAGCCGCGGUAAUAC
rnacentral:rRNA from 1 species